CCCAUAUGCAUAUAUGUAGAGUCUGGAUCCAAUCGGUUCGAAUGAUUGUGAUGCGAAGGCGUGUCCAAAUAUGCAAACACGCGAGCUGGAUUUUUUCGGAAACUUUCAUGACUUGAGGUUCCCUUGCGGUAACACUAGACAAAAACAAACGGAGGAAGUAGAAAGCAUCAUGCCUGGUGCCGGUUGGAAGUAACAUCAAGAGCUACAGACUAUCAAUUUUGCACAUCUUGAAGAGAAAUUAAAACAAACAAUGGAAUGUAGCAAAGUGGACAUUAUACUUGAUGAGUGCUGAAUAUGAAGAUUUUUUGAACAGCGCACUUCUUUUUAACAUGAUGGAGUUGCAAAAAGUUACCACAGUUCUAUGGACAUGAUGGACAACUAAAGGAGAAUAGUUUCAUUUGUCAAAGGACAACUAAAGGAGAAUAAUUUCAUUUGUCAAAGAACAACUGAAGGAGAAUAAUUUCAUUUGUCAAAGGACAGGAGACUUUCCAUGCCCUAAGAUUUUAAAAGCUGAAAUUGGAAAAUAAGAUGCAGAGAACCAUUCAUGAAGUAUAUAUAUGAUACUGAUAUUUACAAUUUUCUGCAGAGCUAUAACUCCAGCCCUUUAGAUUACAUUACACUACUAUUGCUUGCUAAUUCUACCAUCAAUAGCAGGAGUAGAGAGGAGAUUCAGCACUAUGAAUGAUCUUUGCAAUUUGCUGUGGAUGAUGACUAAAUCAAAUUUGGAUGCAUUGAUGAAAUUCAUAUAGCGAUGACAGUUACUUCAUUGAACAAGAAAAAGCUGUAAAUAUUUUCAAUGGUGCAAAACAAACAAGUUAUAAUGAACUAUAAAAUGAUUAAAACUGUGUUGAGUUUUCAAUUUGUUUAAAAAGUGACAACAUUUACCUAAUGAAAUAUAAUGAACACCAAAGAUGCUAUCAUUUGGAUUGAUUGUAAAGUUUA